rnacentral:lncRNA from 1 species
CGUGGUUUAUAGGGUAUUUAAAUACUAAUAGAAAAAUAAAUUAUAGAUUCUGUCAAUACUCCGCGAAACAAAUUUAUUAAACUUAAUUAAUCUAUCAUUAGCACAUGUGUUAUUAUAGCAUAUAGUGUCUAAUCAUAGACUAAUUAGACUUAAAAAAUCAUCUCGCAAGUUAGUCUCUAGUUAUAUUUUUAGUUUCAUAAAUAGUCUAUAUUUAAUACUUCAUAUAUUUGUACAAACAUCUAAUAUGAUAGGGACUAAAGUUUAAUAGAUAUAACCAAACAGGGCCGAAAGUCCAAACUAAAAACUACAACACUCCUAAGAGCAACUCUAGUAGUAGCCCCAAAACAAGACCCCUACUUUUAAUUUGGGUGCUCUCCUUACUUUUUGGGGCUUUAUUUUUUUUUUGCUUUAACUCCAACAGCAGCACCUAAUUUAAGGCCCCAAACCUAUUCCGAUAGAGAAUGAUAGAAGGGACCCACUCAUCAUUGUUUUUUUCUUCUUCCUGUUUUUUCUUCCUUUCGACACGGACACAAUUAGAGGAUUGAUCCGACGACCGUAUGAUGUCGUGCACGUGCAAGAGAAGAGAGAGGGGGAGCGCGCGCUGGGGCUAGAACACGUGAUGGAGGAUGGGGCUGUCCUGUUGGGCCAACCAGAAUGGGGUCUGGGAGAGGUAUAUGGCAGCCCAUCCAAAUAUAGGGUCUGGAGUAGGGGCCUACUAGAGUAAUGUUUUUAGCCUGGACAAUCAUAUUUAGCUAUUGGGAUUUAAGUAGGGGUCUUGCUGGAGUUGCUCUAAGCACUUCAGUUUCUAGGUCAUCCCUCCACUCGCUGGUGCUUGCAAUGCACUUGCUAUCCGCAAGAUCUUUCUUUUUUUUUUUCUUUUUUUGCAAAUUACAGUACAAUGAAGACACCUAUAACGUACACAUGCUCACCUCUAAGAGUGCACGCGCGCAAAUCCUACCCCUAUAAACACAUUCAAAAGAACUGAGCCGACAGAUCUCGCUCCACAGUCACCUCACUGUUAACGGGGACGUUGUCUAUCACUGAAAGCAUAAUGUUAUUAAAUCCUAAAAUAAAUCUAGAAAAAUAUGAAUACCCGAAUCAAGUUGAGCACUUAGGUGGGUAGGCACCACAAGACACCAACCAACUGAUCUAGAUUAUGUUUUGAAAUUUGUAUAUUAUAUUAUAUUAUAUAAUGGACGUGAUAUAUUUUUGCGAGGCAUACUUUGGUUUCAAAAUCCUUAGAUCCGCCACUCUAAUAAAUAUUUGCAAUGCUUUGAAAUUUGGUUGUCUGCAAGUUGUUUUUAAUAGAGGUAAGCGAGGUGGGUAUAAUUAAAUUUUGUAUGCUUCGUCAGCUUGUACACUCCUACCUACUUUGAGCACUGUAGAAAUGUAUUGAAUAUAAUGGGCCAUUAGCCCAUAUUUAUAUUUGAUGAUUAAUUCAAGUGCCCAUAAUUAAUGCUAUAAUGAAAAUGGUUUAGUACCAUAUUGAUGAUUGACCGUGUGUUAACUCAACUUAAAUAGGUGGCCUUUGUUAGUCCCUAUGGAGAAGUUGAGGGAGGAUGAAGGGGUGCCACACGCGCGCGCCGCCGCCGUCGAGCCGAGCCGUCUUGUCUUGACGAGCGAGCGUGACUUGGCACACGAGGACCAGACCAGACGUGACGUGGCGCAUGCGUGGUGAAUAAGGAAAGAGAGGAAAAACAGGAUCUGACCGUUGUGUAAUUAAUUUCAAUUAAUUGCUAAUUGAUUGACUCGGUUUAUGGCAAUUAAAAGAGAUUAAUGGUUAUCAUUCAAAUGUUUCCUCCUGAGGCCUAUAUAUACCUUACGCACCCACUCCUUCCAUACAUGCGAGAACACAUCCUGUCGAGUUGCUCUCUGUCCAUUCCCGUCCCGAACCUCUGCGCGCACAGAGAUCGGGAGAGCAGGCCUCCGGAACCCGACGCCUUGCAUCGAGACACCUGCUCGGGUGUUGCGGGCAAUCAGGUUUUUGGGUAGCGUCUUCCGCGACUGCUCACCGGCGAGAUCGUCUUCUUCCACUCCGGCGAGUCUUCUUCCUGGUGGACGUUCGCACGGAUCGAGAUCGACUACUUCGUCUUCUUCCUGGUGGACGUUCGCGGGACUGCACUGCGAACAUCUUCCUGCACCGACUGUGGUCCGCUACUUCGAGCAACGCACUAUGUCGACUAGUGCGAAUGGAGCCGCCGGUGCCUUCGGCACUGGUCCCUCCUCUGGGUACAAUCUUAAAUGAUUGUUUUUCUUUUUCAGUAUGUUUGCUGUUGUUGCAGUAGUAUUUGCAAUGUUUAUCUCUAAUCUGAGUAGUGAUAAAAUUGCACACGUGCACAUGUAUGCCACCACAAUAUUAUUGGUAAUUUUCUGGAUUAAAUCAAACAUUAAAAUGUCUAAAUUUCUAACAAUCCAAAAACCUGAUAUUAGGCAUUUUUCUGUCAGUGGUUUUGCUGCUACGUUAAAACCGGAUCUGUUUGAUGGCUCAAAUUAUAAGCGGUGGCGCGCGAGAAUGAUAUUAUGGUUGACUGCUAUGAGUUGCUAUGACGUCGCGAAGGGGAAGCCGGAACAGUUUACUCCUGAGGAGGAGAAAACGUUCUUGGCUGCUGAUAACCUCUUCAGAGGCGCCGUCAUAAGUGCGCUCGAUAAAAAGUAUGUCGACAAUUAUAUUAUUUGCACCACUGCUAAGGAAUUAUGGGAUGCGCUUGAGGCCAAGUUCGGGGUUUCUGAUGCUGGUAGCGAGCUGUACCUCAUGGAACAAUUGUUUGAUUACAAGAUGGUUGAUAGCCGUUCUGUGAUUGAACAAGCACAUGAGAUACAGGCACUAGCUAAGGAACUAGAACAAUUCCCUUGUGUGUUGCCUGAAAAGUUUGUGGCCGGCGGUAUAAUCGCUAAGCUGCCACCUUCUUGGAAGGAUUUUGCUACUUCUCUAAAACAUCAGAGGAAAGAGUUUGGUCUUGCUGAAAUCAUGGGAACUCUUGAUGUUGAGGAGAAGGCGAGAGCAAAAGAUACACAUGGGAAAGGCGUUGAGUCUUCUAGUGCCAAUGUGGUGCAGAAGAAAAAGCAAUUCGCAUUCCGUAAUAAGAAAAAGAACAAGCAAGAGAAUAAGCAAGGAGCAAACCCGAAGCCAAAACAAACUGCAACUUUUAAGAAGAAAAAGGCAGAAGGAGGCUGCUUUGUUUGCGGUAGCGAUGACCACUGGGCGAGUGGUUGUCCAGACCGCAAAUUUAAACGAGAAGAGAAAAAGUCAGUAAAUAUGGUCAUUGGCGAGGCUGAAGGAGGAACAUCUGGGUAUGGUAAUUAUUUACCUACUGUUCUUUCAGUCUGUCAUUCACCUGAGUGGUGGAUGGAUACUGGGGCUAAUGUUCAUGUGUGUGCUGACAUCUCUUUGUUUUCUUCUUAUCAGGCCGGCAACACUGGAGCCUUACUGAUGGGGAACGGAUCUCAUGCGCGUGUUCUUGGUGUUGGUACGGUCAUUCUGAAGUUCACUUCGGGAAAGACGGUGCUGAUGAAGAACGUGCAGCAUGUCCCCUCCAUCAAAAAGAAUCUAGUUAGCGGCUCACAGCUUUGUAGAGAUGGCUACAAAAUAGUCUUUGAGGCCAAUAAAGUUAUACUUUCAAAAUUUGGAACUUUUAUUGGUAAAGGUUAUGACUGCGGAGGCUUGUUCCGCUUAUCCAUGCAUGAUGUGUGUAAUAAAAUCGUGAACCAUACUCUGAUUUCGAAUGAGUCGAAUAUUUGGCAUUCGCGAUUUUGUCAUGUUAAUUAUGGUUGUUUAACGCGGCUAGCAAAUAUGAAUUUAAUCCCGAAAUUUAAUUUAGUCAAAGGUUCUAAGUGCCAUGUAUGCGUGCAAUCCAAGCAACCUCGCAAGCCUCACAAGGCUGCGGAGGCGAGGAACUUGGCACCAUUAGAAUUAAUCCAUUCCGAUCUAUGCGAGAUGAAUGGUGAGUUGACUAAAGGUGGUAAACGUUACUUCAUCACUUUUAUAGACGAUUGUACUAGAUUUUGUCAUGUGUACUUGCUUAAAACAAAGGAUGAAGCAUUACAAUAUUUUAAAGCCUAUAAAGCUGAAGUAGAAAAUCAACUUGAGAGGAAAAUUAAAUGCUUAAGGUCCGAUCGUGGUGGAGAAUAUUUUUCAAGUGAUUUUUUCUUACUUCUGCGUAGAACAUGGAAUUAUUCAUGAGAGGACACCGCCAUACUCACCACAGUCCAAUGGGAUUGCCGAAAGAAAGAACCGUACUCUAACUGAGAUGGUUAACGCCAUGUUAGAGACUUCGGGUCUAUCUAAGGAAUGGUGGGGUGAGGCGAUACUGACAGCGAGUCAUGUCCUGAAUAGAGUUCCUACAAAGAAUAAAGAAAUCACACCAUUUGAGAAAUGGGAAAAGAAAAGAGUAAAUGUCUCCUAUUUGCGUACUUGGGGUUGUUUGGCUAAAGUGAAUGUGCCAAUAAACAAGAAACGUAAACUCGGACCUAAGACAGUUGACUGUAUUUUCCUUGGUUAUGCUACUCACAGCAUAGGGUAUAGGUUCUUAAUAAUAAACUCUGGAGUACCAGAUAUGCAUGUUGGUACUAUAAUGGAAUCUAGAGAUGCAACAUUCUUUGAAAGUGAGUUUCCUAUGAAAAGUACACCUAAUAUUUCUAGUCAUGAGUCUAUAAACUCCCAUGAGCAAUUUAUUCUGAUAGAACAAUCUGAGGAACCCCAUGUUCACUAUCCUGAGGAGGAUGAUAAUGUAGUCACUCAAACGAGCAAAAGACAAAGAAAAGUGAAGUCUUUUGGAGAUGACUAUAUUGUGUACCUCGUGGAUGAUACCCCAACAACCAUUAAAGAGGCAUUUUCCUCUCCUGAUGCUGACUUGUGGAAGGAAGCAAUAAGGAAUGAGAUGGAUUCUAUAAUGUCUAAUCGAACUUGGGAAGUGGUUGAACGACCUUAUGGGUGCAAACCUAUAGGGUGCAAAUGGGUGUUUAAGAAAAAGCUUAGGCCUGAUGGUACAAUUGAGAGGUACAAGGCUAGGCUUGUGGCUAAGGGUUAUACCCAAAGAGAAGGGGAAGAUUUCUUUGAAACUUAUUCACCUGUUGCCCGUUUGACCACAAUUCGAGUGUUAUUGUCUUUGGCUGCCUCUCAUGGUCUUCUCAUUCAUCAGAUGGAUGUGAAGACAGCUUUCCUAAAUGGAGAGUUAGACGAAGAGAUCUAUAUGGAUCAGCCUGAUGGAUUUGUAACAAGUGGUCAAAAGGGCAAGGUGUGUAAGUUAUUAAAAUCCCUUUAUGGCCUAAAACAAGCUCCAAAACAAUGGCAUGAGAAGUUUGACAGAACCUUAACUUCUGCUGGCUUUGCUGUUAAUGAAGCUGACAGAUGUGUGUACUAUCGGUUUGGUGGGGGUGAAGGUGUGAUCCUUUGUCUGUACGUGGAUGACAUACUGAUCUUUGGGAUAAGCCUUGUUGUGAUCAAGGAAGUUAAAGACUUUUUGUCUAACAACUUUGAGAUGAAAGAUUUGGGAGAAGCUGAUGUUAUUCUAAACAUUAAGCUUUCAAGAGAAGGCAAUGGUGGGACAACUCUUGUGAAGUCCCACUAUGUGGAAAAGAUUUUAAGUCGCUUUGGGUACAGUGACUGUCAAUCUGCUCCUACGCCUUAUGAUCCUAGUGUGCUAUUGAGGAAAAAUCGAAGAAUAGCAAGGGAUCAACUAAGAUUCUCCCAAAUUAUAGGCUCAUUGAUGUACCUUGCUAGUGCCACGAGGCCUGAUAUCUCGUUUGCAGUGAGCAAACUUAGCCGGUUUGUGUCAAAUCUCGGAGAUAUUCAUUGGCAAGCUCUUGAGAGAGUGAUGCGCUAUUUGAAAGGUACUGUGAGCUAUGGCAUUCACUAUACCGGAUACCCGAAGGUAUUAGAGGGUUAUUGUGACGCAAACUGGAUAUCUGAUGCUGAUAUGUUAAAGGCCACAAGUGGAUAUGUGUUUCUGCUUGGAGGUGGCGCUGUUUCAUGGAAGUCUUGUAAGCAGACUAUCUUAACAAAGUCAACCAUGGAAGCAGAACUCAUAGCAUUAGACAUCGCCGGUGCUGAGGCCGAGUGGCUUCAUCAACUCCUGAUGGAUCUACCGGUGGUUGAAAAACCUGUGCCGGCUAUUUCCAUGAACUGUGACAAUCAAACAGUGAUCACUAAAGUCAACAGUUCUAAGGACAACAUGAAGUCUACUAGGCAUGUCAAACGACGUUUGAAGACUGUCAGAAAGUUGAGAAACUCUGGAGUUAUAGCAUUGGACUAUGUUCAUACGUCCAAGAAUCUGGCAGAUCAAUUCACAAAGGGACUAUCACAUAAUGUGAUAGAUAGUGCAUCGAGUGAGAUGGGUUUGAGACCCACGUGAGGUCUACCAUGGUGGCAACCUGUUCUAUGUGAUCGGAGAUCCCGUGAAGUAGAAUGGUGAAACAAGCCAGAAGUAGAUUGUGAGGAAAGACCCUUUACUUAACUCAUCUGAAUUGCACUUCUUUCCUAAGUCUGUAAGGAAGGCUGGUUAUAUACCUUAAUGUAUUCCAAAGCGGCUUGUGAAGCGAUAGAUGUUGUCCAACAGAACAUCUUUAAGGAAUACACCUAUAUGAGUUUGACUGCUAGUCACAGUCUAUGAGAUUUUGGGUGAUCUCUAGAUACUCAUGAAUGGGCCAGAAGUAUGACUUAUAUGCUUCAACCAGAGGGGAUGUUCAUGCAACCCGGUAUCAGUUAUGAGUGUAGAUGAAACUUAUAUCACACAAAACUUGCAAUUCAAGGCAUAGUCUAUUGUUCAAGUUGUGGCUAAGUGUAGUCUGUACUCUAGGUGGAAGUUCAACUUAACAGUCUCCACUGAAACGACUGGUAUAUGAAACGACAUGGAAACUCGAGAGCUUUUCUUAUGUGCCCUAGAAAUAGGUGGGGAUUGUUGAAUAUAAUGGGCCAUUAGCCCAUAUUUAUAUUUGAUGAUUAAUUCAAGGGCCCAUAAUUAAUGCUAUAAUGAAAAUGGUUUAGUACCAUAUUGAUGAUUGACAAUGUGUUAACUCAACUUAAAUAGGUGGCUGUUGACGGUCCUUAAGUAUCAAAUUUAAUUAUCAAAUAAAUAAAGAAAAGGAUCCAAAUAAAAUCAACAUCCAGACUUAGGGUUUUAUCUGACAGAAUUCCACGAGUUUUGGUGUUUGUCUAUUUCUGCAGGGGGUUAUCAGGAAAUAUGGAAGAAAGGCCCACACGUCGGGAUUACGUAAAGAUAUUAACGUGCCGCGCAAUUAUCUUACAUCUAGAAGACUCCAGAAGCCACGAGACCGAAGCGGAGGCGAAACGGGGCCAGAGGCAGGGCGCCCGCCCUCCUGCCCUGGGCGCCCGCCCCCUCCCUGAGUCCAAUCAGGACUCUACUUCGUGGGAGAUCUCCACCGACCUAAAGGAUGAAUCUAAACCAUACAAUCUAUGUCGGUUUGAUCCAAUGGCCCAUAUUCACUUGAAGGGACUAUAAAACCAGACCCCCUGGCCCCUGGAGGAGAGAGCCUCUCAACCCUAAUUCAUUGUUCCUCAAGGGAGAAGAAGCCUCUGAUCAAGAUUAGAGCCACCACAUCAAUUAGAUAUCUAGAUUAGCAUAGCUACAUAGGAUUAGAACUAGAAGGAGUCAAUCUUCGAUUGGUUUCCGGAUCUGUCAUGAGGAUAUUCUUGGUAAUUCUCUAAUUGUGCUUCUAAUUACUUUCUAAUUAUCUUUGUUCUUCAAUAUUAUGAAUAUGACUUUGUUCUACUUCAAUAUAUUGCUUAUGACUUUGCUCUAUUUGCUUAUAUUCAAGAUUAUAUUGUUCUUAGUUUAUCAUAGUUAUGUACUUGGCUUAGUUAGAUUCGAUCUAUAUACAUGCUUAGGAUCGUAUAGCGUUUAUCCAUCGGAUCCAUGGGUAAAUGAUAGAUAUUGUGUAGGCGUGGUGCUUAUACCGUAUUUAUCUGCGAUUGUACCCAAUAUGCCAGAUCGUGGGGUGGUUCGUGAUAGUGACAGCUUCAUUGAUUCUUAUAUAGUCCCCCUCUCGUGUAUUGGGCUGGCAGAGCAACAUUAUUACAGGGGAGUGAUUGCUAUGUUUCUCAUAUUCCUUGCUAAUAUCAUUAUGCAUGGGCGUAGUCUUGUCUCACAAUGAUUGCUAAGUAUGCUUGCACUAACUAUGAUAAUGCUAGACUAUAUAGUUGAGAAUAACUUAGGGAAUAUUCUUGUAGUUCGUUCUAAUACCAUGCUAAUGACUUUCUAGAGUAUCUAAUUGAGGUGCUUAUCAUAUUUAUUAUGUGGCUAGAUCAGAUUAAUUAUCUUUGUCACUAUUAUUAUUUCAUAUAUCUUUUAUGUGACACUUAUCCCUGUAUGAAGAGUUAGAUAUAAUGUUCUCAAUUAUACAUGCAAUGAUAGAUGCUCAAUCUCAUAUUCUAUUCUGUAAUCAAUAGUGAUGAUCGCUAAUCCCUUCCCAGUGGUAAAAAUAUAAAUAACGAUACCUGGAAUACUUCCCGGUUAAAAUGCUGCAUCGGUAUUAAUCUGUGCGCUUGCAGAUCCCAUUCAUUAUUUAUUUAGAAGAGCAAUUGCAUAUUUCAAUACCGCGUCUCUUAUAUCAUGCUGGGGAUGACAACUUGGCUUAAGUGGUGUGAGGGAUAGGUUUGGCAUUUUUGGCACCGUUACUAGAUUUAGAGAACUUAGUCUACUUUUGGUAAUGAUGUUAAGUAUACCCAACAAGCAUUUUUGGCGCCAUUGCCGGGGAAGGUUGAUUACCAAUCAGGAAUGGAAUAAAAGAUUUUGAGUCAUCAUUCGCAUCACUAAUAUGAUUGAGCUUAUCUAUUCUCUCAUACAGUUUUACCCCGAUAUUUUUCUAUUUUAUCUUAUGCAGGGGAAUGUAUGAAUAGAAGACAUCUUCCAGGAAAUUUUGUUGAUAAUCCCGAAGCAUUAUUCAAGAAGACGAGAGCAAAGCUCAAGAAGAGAUCAUCAACACUUCACGAAGAAGCUUCAUCCAAUCAAGAAGAUCACCGGAACUUGUCUUCAGAGUUCGAAGCCAUGGCGAACAAAUCGAUCCGCGAGUUCUCAGCUCCCACUACGGACAACAUCCGCACUGGACCUGCUGCAGAGAUCGACGGCAACUUUGAGCUCAAGCCUGGACUUAUCAACAUGGUGCAAUCCAACCAGUUCUGUGGGAAGGCACACGAAGAUGCUAGUGCUCAUUUACAACACUUCCUGGAGAUUUGCAACACAUUCACCAUAGCAGGAGUUUCCAAAGACGCUAUACUACUUCGCCUCUUCCCAUUCUCACUGUUAGGAAGAGCGAAGCAGUGGUUCUACGCUACAAAGGAGAAGAAUACUACGUGGGCACUCUGCUCAACAAACUUCCUGGCUAAGUUCUUUCCCAUGGGCAAGACCAAUGCUCUCCGUGGGAAGAUUACAAGUUUUCAGCAACAAAAUGAUGAAUCUGUUCCAGAAGCAUGGGAGCGCUUUCAAGACUACAUCCUAGAAUGUCCCCAUCAUGGAAUGGAGAGUUGGCUAUUGAUGCAGACAUUUUAUCAUGGGCUCAGCAACAGUGCCCGAGAGACCAUGGAUGCUGCAGCUGGAGGAGCAUUCUUAUCACUUACUAUACCACAAGCCACAGCUCUUGUGGAGAAGAUGGCGUCCAACCAAAGCUGGAAUGAAGAGAGGACCCAGACACGCAAGAGAGGUGGAGGUAUGCAUCAGCCGAAAGAGGUAGACAUGCUGUCUGCAAAGCUAGACCUGCUCAUGAAAAAGCUCGACGAUAGAGCUGGAGAUAAGAAAGAAGUUAUGCACAUCUACGACUCUCACAUGACUUGUGAGGAGUGUGGAGACACUGGACACUCAGGCAACCACUGCCCUGAGAUGCUUGAGGAUGUGAACUACAUCAACAACAACAACUACUACUACUACUACAACCGUCCUCAACAAAAUCAAGGUUGGAAUCAACAGAGACCUAACUACUCAGGUAAUUAUCAAGGUAACAAUUCUUACAACAAUAAUAAUAAUUUUCCACCUUUGAGAGAGUUAGUGUCUAAUCAAGGAAAGCUAAUGGAUAACCUAUCUAAGAAAUUGGCAUCUAAUGAUAAAAUGCUAGAAAAUAUAAAUAAAAGAAUGGAUAAUUUUUCUACUGCCAUCAAGAAUCAAAUUAGCUUUAAUAAAAUGAUUGAAUCCCAGCUAAAUGAAAUAGCUGCUGCUGUUCCUACUACUAACCCCGGUAUACCAUCACAACCGGAAGGAUUAGAAUCUGCAAAUCUUGUAGACAUGUUUGAUGCAGGUAAUUGGAGUAACCCCAUCACUGAAUUCUCUACUGACCUUCUGCCGGUCAAGAGAGGCGAUCCAGGACGCCCCGUCAUCCCGAUCUCCAUUGGCAUGGUGGACGUUCCAGAAGCACUCUGCGACUUUGGCUCUAGCGUCAACAUUAUACCCAGGGUACUCUAUGAAAAAUUCUUUACAUAUCCUUUAUUAGAGAGAACCAUGUGUUUGCAGUUUGCAGAUCAGACGAUAACUUUUCCAAAAGGAAUAGUGAAGAACCUUUGUGUCCGAGUUGGUACCUUAUAUGCCCCAGCAGACUUCGUAGUGGUAGAGACCGGAAAUGAUGAGAGAGCACCUAUCAUCCUAGGGAGGCCAUUCUUGAACACCACGGGAGCUAUCAUCUACGCCAGUGCUGCCAAGAUCAGUUUCUACGUCAAAGGGAAGAAGAAGACAUUUUUCUUCAAGAACAAGACUACACAAAUUCAAGAUCAAUCCAGACGUAAAUCAAGAAAGAGGACCAACAGGAGAAAUAGGAACAAGCAAGUGUGGACCGAGUCAGCUAAGAUGGUCACUGUAGUCCAUGGAGGCCAAGAUCAUCAACUUAAGUCACCGUUUUUGACCUGUUGGUGCAAAAGCUGGUCUGCAAACACAAAGGGCUAAUACCCGAUUCAAACGUUAAGGCGUGCCAGCCAAUUUGACCUUACUAUCGGCAAAGGUGAUAACUCGAAUACUUUAGUCCUGACAACAGCGAUGCGCCCGAAUGUCACGGCUAAGAGGUACUCACGCGGAACUUGAGAACACGCCGAGCUUAAGUCGACGAAUUCCUAAGAACUCGUAAUAAAAAGGAAAAAGUAUGACGAAGUCGUCGAAAAAAGUGGAUGCUGGAAUAUGAGUAAAAACGUGUGUUUGAUUGGUUGAUAGAUGUCUCAUUACAAGGUCUUAGGGUCUAUAUUUAUACCCGGCUCAAAGAGCUAUAGCCUGACACGAUUAGAAUUCGAAUUCCAAAUUACACGGAAUCCGUAUACAAAACGAUGUAAAUAAUUAAGGAAAUAACAAAACUAUCUCCGGUAACAAACUGAAACUCUGCCACAAACCAUCGGUGGCUUCCGAACUCUCCCUUCGUAUCAUCGGCAGACUCCCUUGCCAUAGUCAUCGGCACAGACACAUCACCGCCUGUAGACUUAGUCAUGCUCAACCUCUCCUUCAUCGGCAACCAUCCUCAUCGGCAACUUUUCCUGUAAACAAAACACUGCCGUCUUAUCCUGCCGGCCUGGACACGUGCCCAAAAACGGUGUCAACACAUGCCCCCCAAUUUCGGAGUAUGAAAUCAUCAAUGCUCUGAAAUUCCCUGCAGUAAUGAUGCCUUUUUCCGCAAUUAAUGCUCCUAAUCUGGUAACCAACAACCUCAAUCUGAACAACUCUGAUCCUAUUCUUCUGCAUAUUCCUCGAAAUCCUCAACUUCCUAAACGGGCAUUUCCUUCUCAACCGUACAUCGGCAAUAUUACCGUUACAAAAAUCUGCCGAUGAACUGAUCAGGACAUUCGUACAAACGGCUAUCUUCACUUCACUCGCCCAUCGGCAAUAUGACCGUUACAGGACGCUGCCGAUGGACCGACCAGGAGAUCCCGCACAGCAAAAUAUCUCCAGAUAAUGACCGCUUCCCGUCAAAUCACCUGCACAAUCCCUCGAUUAUCGUGCGAACAAUUACCAUAUCUACCUGAGCACCCUCGGAUUUCUCGGAUGCGGCAAGGAGAUAAGUCAGAUUUGCCCUUGCCCAUUUUGUCCUAUAAAUAGUUCCUUCUCGGGUACUCCUUCUCCAUCACAUCAUUCCACCAUCCCAACUUUACUUUCCUUGCGGCGGCGCCAUUCAAAAUCUCCAAGACCUCCGACAAAGACUCUUCCUCACCAACCCCGGAGCCCUCAGAGAUCCCCCUCGUUGCAAGAUGGCUAUUAGCUUCAUCGUCCCUGAGGUGAGUUCUUCAUUCCGUCUCCUAUACUUUUCCUCACAUCCCCGUUCAUCCGCAAUCCAUUUUACUGAAUAUUUUUCUUUUCUUUUCUUUGUGUUAUUUUUCUUUAUUUCCAAAACCACCAGGAAUUGUCCAACAAAAUUGUCAUCCCUACCGAUCAACCACACCUCCAAUGCCUCAGUCCUCUAGGGGAUCCAGAUCCAACCGAUCUUAUUAACGCAGAAACCAACAGGAUCCCUUUCAGAACCAAAAAUUUUUCUUUAGAUCUGUGGAAAGACACCUUCCGUUCUUGGCCCAGCCCUACUGUAGGGUGGAAAGACUGGUUCUUGAGGGUCAACAAUUCCAAUGAAGUCCAGUGGGGUGAGAGAAAGCUAGAUCAAUGCAUUAGAUUAUCCAUUGCCGAUAUGCACAGGAAUGAGUCACUGUUGAUAGCUGCAUCUUACUUUUGGUCAGACACCCUCAACGCUUUUGUCUUUGGCCAUGGCCCUGCUUCUCCUACUCUUGCCAAUGUAGCCAUGCUCACCGGUCUAGAUAUAUCUUCUGCCGAUAGCACCCACUUUUUUGACACUGCUCCUAGUGCCAAAGUGGAAACUCGCGCCAUCGGCGGCUGGUCAGGGUACAUUCAGAAGUAUCGUGGGACGGGGUCUGUCAGCACAAAGGAACAAACCACCUUUCUGAACAUGUGGCUGGACAAGUUUGUGUUCUGUGGUCGAUCGGCAGGACCGACUUCCGUCUAUCUAUCGGCAGCAGAGAGACUGGCUAACGGUGGCCGAUUCCGUCUCGGCCGAUACUUGCUUGGCGCUGCUUACCAUCUCCUCCAUCAGGUGGCCAAGAAACUCCUGCUCGGCCAGUCCACUGGCAACUUAGGCGGCCCCUGGUGGUUCAUCAAUGUUGACGGUCCUUAAGUAUCAAAUUUAAUUAUCAAAUAAAUAAAGAAAAGGAUCCAAAUGAAAUCAAGAUCUAGACUUAGGGUUUUAUCUGACAGAAUUCCACGAGUUUUGGUGUUUGUCUAUUUCUGCAGGGGGUUAUCAGGAAAUAUGGAAGAAAGGCCCACAUGUCGGGAUUACGUAAAGAUAUUAACGUGCUGCGCAAUUAUCUUACAUCUAGAAGAUUCCAGAAGCCACGAGACCGAAGCGGAGACGAAACGGGGCCAGAGACAGGGCGCCCGCCCUGUCCUACUGGGUGCCCGCCCUGCCCCCAAGUCCAAUCAGGACUCUGCUUUGCGGGAGAUCUCCACCGACCUAAAGGAUGAAUCUAAACCAUACAAUCUAUGUCGGUUUGAUCCAACGGCCCAUAUUCACUUGGAGGGACUAUAAAACCAGACCCCCUGGCCCCUGGAGGAGAGAGCCUCUCAACCCUAAUUCAUUGUUCCAUCAAGGGAGAAGAAGCCUCUGAUCAAGAUUAGAGCCACCACAUCAAUUAGACAUUUAGAUUAGCAUAGCUACAUAGGAUUAGAACUAGAAGGAGUCAAUCUUCGAUUGGUUUCCGGAUCUGUCAAGAGGAUUCUUAGUAAUUCUCUAAUUGUGCUUCUAAUUGCUUUCUAAUUAUCUUUGUUCUUCAAUAUUAUGAAUAUGACUUUGUUCUACUUCAAUAUAUUGCUUAUGACUUUGCUCUACUUGCUUAUAUUCAAGAUUAUAUUGUUCUUAGUUUAUCAUAGUUAUGUACUUGGCUUAGUUAGAUUCGAUAUAUACACAUGCUUAGGAUCGUAUAGCGUUUAUCUAUCGGAUCCAUGGGUAAAUGAUAGAUAUUGUGUAGGCGUGGUGCUUAUACCGUAUUUAUCUGCGAUUGUACCCAAUAUGCCAGAUCGUGGGGUGGUUCGUGAUAGUGACAGCUUCAUUGAUUCUUAUAUAGUCCCCCUCUCGUGUAUUGGGCUGGCAGAGCAACAUUAUUACAGGGGUGUGAUUGCUAUGUUUCUCAAAUUCCUUGCUAAUAUCACUAUGCAUGGGCGUAGUCUUGUCUCACAAUGAUUGCUAAGUAUGCUUGCACUAACUAUGAUAUGCUAGACUAUAUAGUUAAGAAUAACUUAGGGAAUAUUCUUGUAGUUCGUUCUAAUACCAUGCUAAUGACUUUCUAGAGUAUCUAAUUGAGGUGCUUAUCAUAUUUAUUAUGUGGCUAGAUCAGAUUAGUUAUCCUUGUCACUAUUAUUAUUUCAUAUAUCUUUUAUGUGACACUUAUCCCUGUAUGAAGAGUUAGAUAUAAUGUUCUCAAUUAUACAUGCAAUGAUAGAUGCUCAAUCUCAUAUUCUAUUCUGUAAUCAAUAGUGAUGAUCGCUAAUCCCUUUCCAGUGGUAAAAAUAUAAAUAACGAUACCUGGAAUACUUCCCGGUUAAAAUGCUGCAUCGGUAUUAAUCUGUGCGCUUGCAGAUCCCAUUCAUUAUUUAUUUAGAAGAGCAAUUGCAUAUUUCAGUACCGCGUCUCUUAUAUCAUGCUGGGGAUGACAACUUGGCUUAAGUGGUGUGAGGGAUAGGUUUGGCAUUUUUGGCACCGUUACUAGAUUUAGAGAACUUAGUCUACUUUUGGUAAUGAUGUUAAGUAUACCCAACAAGCAUUUUUGGCGCCGUUGCCGGGGAAGGUUGAUUACCAAUCAGGAAUGGAAUAAAAGAUUUUGAGUCAUCAUUCGCAUCACUAAUAUGAUUGAGCUUAUCUAUUCUCUCAUACAGUUUUACCCCGAUAUUUUUCUAUUUUAUCUUAUGCAGGGGAAUGUAUGAAUAGAAGACAUCUUCCAGGAAAUUUUGUUGAUAAUCCCGAAGCAUUAUUCAAGAAGACGAGAGCAAAGCUCAAGAAGAGAUCAUCAACACUUCACGAAGAAGCUUCAUCCAAUCAAGAAGAUCAUCGGAACUUGUCUUCAGAGUUCGAAGCCAUGGCGAACAAAUCGAUCCGCGAGUUCUCAGCUCCCACUACGGACAACAUCCGCACUGGACCUGCUGCAGAGAUCGACGGCAACUUUGAGCUCAAGCCUGGACUUAUCAACAUGGUGCAAUCCAACCAGUUCUGUGGGAAGGCACACGAAGAUGCUAGUGCUCAUUUACAACACUUCCUAGAGAUUUGCAACACAUUCACCAUAGCAGGAGUUUCCAAAGACGCUAUACUACUUCGCCUCUUCCCAUUCUCACUGUUAGGAAGAGCAAAGCAGUGGUUCUACGCUACAAAGGAGAAGAAUACUACGUGGGCACUCUGCUCAACAAACUUCCUGGCUAAGUUCUUUCCCAUGGGCAAGACCAAUGCUCUCCGUGGGAAGAUUACAAGUUUUUAGCAACAAAAUGAUGAAUCUGUUCCAGAAGCAUGGGAGCGCUUUCAAGACUACAUCCUAGAAUGUCCCCAUCAUGGAAUGGAGAGUUGGCUAUUGAUGCAGACAUUCUAUCAUGGGCUCAGCAACAGUGCCCGAGAGACCAUGGAUGCUGCAGCUGGAGGAGCAUUCUUAUCACUUACUAUACCACAAGCCACAGCUCUUGUGGAGAAGAUGGCGUCCAACCAAAGCUGGAAUGAAGAGAGGACCCAGACACGCAAGAGAGGUGGAGGUAUGCAUCAGCUGAAGGAGGUAGACAUGCUGUCUGCAAAGCUAUACCUGCUCAUGAAGAAGCUCGACGAUAGAGCUGGAGACAAGAAAGAAGUUAUGCACAUCUACGACUCUCACAUGACUUGUGAGGAGUGUGGAGACACUGGACACUCAGGCAACCACUGCCCUGAGAUGCUUGAGGAUGUGAACUACAUCAACAACAACUACUACUACUACUACAACCGUCCUCAACAAAAUCAAGGUUGGAAUCAACAGAAGCCUAACUACUCAGGUAAUUAUCAAGGUAACAAUUCUUACAACAACAAUAGUAAUUUUCCACCUUUGAGAGAGUUAGUGUCUAAUCAAGAAAAGCUAAUGGAUAACCUAUCUAAGAAAUUGGUAUCUAAUGAUAAAAUGCUAGAAAAUAUAAAUAAUAGAAUGGAUAAUUUUUCUACUGCCAUCAAGAAUCAAAUUAGCUUUAAUAAAAUGAUUGAAUCUCAGUUAAAUCAAAUAGCUGCUGCUGUUCCUACUACUAACCCCGGUAUACCAUCACAACCGGAAGGAUUAGAAUCUGCAAAUCUUGUAGACGUGUUUGAUGCAGGUAAUUGGAGUAACCCCGUCAAUGAAUUCUCUACUGACCGUCUGCCGGUCAAGAAAGGCGAUCCAGGACGCCCCGUCAUCCCGAUCUCUAUCGGCAUGGUGGACGUUCCAGAAGCACUCUACGACUUUGGCUCUAGCGUCAACAUUAUACUCAGGGUACUCUAUGAAAAAUUCUUUACAUAUCCUUUACUAGAAACAACCAUGUGUUUGCAGUUUGCAGAUCAGACGAUAACUUUUCCAAAAGGAAUAGUGAAGAACCUUUGUGUCCGAGUUGGUACCUUAUAUGCCCCAGCAGACUUUGUAGUGGUAGAGACCGGAAAUGAUGAGAGAGCACCCAUCAUCUUAGGGAGACCAUUCUUGAACACCACGGGAGCUAUCAUCUACGCCAGUGCUGCUAAGAUCAGUUUCUACGUCAAAGGGAGGAAGGAGACAUUUUUCUUCAAGAACAAGACUACACAAAUUCCAGAUCAAUCCAGACGUGAAUCAAGGAAGAGGACCAACAGGAGAAACAGGAACAAGCAAGUGUGGACCGAGUCAGCUAAGAUGGUCACUGUAGUUCAUGGAGGCCAAGAUCACCAACUUAAGUCACCGUGUUUGACCAAGAAGGACGACCCAGGAAUGCCAAGCAUUUACUGCUCCAUAAAUGGAUACAACUUCUACAAGACAUUUUGUGACACCGGAUCGGGCGUCAACAUAAUGGCCGCAGUCACCUAUCGGCGCUUGUUCGGAACCAUGCCACUAAGACCAACAUACAUUCAGCUCCAGAUGGCAGAUCAGACAUUUCGAGAAGUUAAAGGAAUAGUAUCUGAUGUCCCAGUCAAAAUAGAUGAUCAUUUAGUCUACACAGACUUUCAAGUUAUUGACAUGGGAUAAGACGAGUAUGAUCCACCCAUCAUCCUUGGAAGACCGUUCCUCAGCACCGUUAAAGCAAUUAUCUACAUUGGAACCGGAGAAGUCCAUAUGCACUUCCCCUCAUAGAAGGUACGUCGUUACUUUACUGACCCUAACUAUAUCGUUGAAGAAUCUAAGCAGGUAAGAAAAUGACGCAACCGCAACCAGAGGAGGCAGAUCAUCAAGGACGGAUGGGCAGACUAUGAAGGAGAAGUUGUAAGAUCAGAAGACGUUGAGUUUAAAUAGAAUUAUCCAGAGGAGAUUGAAGCACCAAGUCAGGUGUGGAAAAUGAAGAUAACUAUACAAGAAGAGGAGGCGCUGCCGGAAGUACCGACUACGCCACCCAACGAACCUCAGGACGAUUAAUAAAAUGGAGAGUCCCGUUCGGAGGACUUAAAAACACCGAACGCCUUGCCAAGAGGUAAACUUGGUAGUUAUCCUUUCCUUUUCAAUUAUUUAAAAUAGUUUACUUAGUUAAUCAUAUUCAUACUAUCUUAAAAAGAAAAUAAAAAUGUGAAAAAACAGUAAGCCCCAUGUGAGUAUACGAGUGGCAUAAAACCCAUAAGUACAUUCACUGUGGUGGCAUAAAAAAUAAAAUAAUUAUUUUUCUGCUCUAUAAAAACAAAAAUAUAAAAACAGGGAGUAAUAUUUAUUAAGGAGUCUCAACAUGAUAAAGGCUAGAUAUUUAUGCUAACACUUAAUCAGUUCCACAAGCUUUGUUGUCUAUUUGAGCUCCACAGAAUUUAAGAAUCAAGAAGACUGGCAGACGGAGGACAUUCUAAUCGCUGUCAGAAUGCUGCUGACUUUCAAAUACACCUCUGCCACCUGCUAGCUACAUCAAGAGAAAUUACGUCAAAAUUCAGCUUGGGGGAGAGCACCCCCAUUUACCUCGAUAAGUAUUUCUAUCUAUCUAUCUUUAUACUUAUAUUAUUUUAAAAUAUAAAUACACAUAACUAUGAAAAACCAAAUAAAGAUUUUAUGCUUAUAUAUAUAUAUAUAUCUUUUGCUUAGUGUGUUUAAUAAAUAAAUAAAGUGGCUAUGCUAAUCUGUAUCUAAAUAAAACUUAAGCAUGGAUAUGAUAAAUAGUUGCUCUGCCUAGUUUGCAAAUUUUAAGUUCUCUCUCAAGUUUAGAUAUAACUGUUAUAAUUUAAAGCUUGCUCUAGACCUAAACUUGUGAGAUGAAAAUUUGAUCUGAAAUCUAAGUUGUUAACGGAUACGAUAUGGGAAGGUUGAGCUGCUGUUUAUCUGUUCCUAGAGAUGCUAGAAUUCUGGAGAAUUUUAUCUUUGAAAAUCUUUAAAAUGUUGCAUGAUGAGUUCCUGUAUGAUGAGAGUUUAAAUUCCUACCACAGCCAUAUAUACAUGCUUGCUAGACUUUGAGCCACACAUUUACUAUUUACUGCUUAUGAGCAUUGAGUGUGGUCAAGCUGUGUAGACCCUUAGGAGCUUGUCAUGUGGUUAAAUCAAGAUUUCACUUGCACGUUCACUCACAUAUGCUACUUCUACUCCGGAAGUACCAUCCACGUAUAUCCACCCAUUCCAUCUCCAGAAUCACCCAAAAAUGUUCUACUCCUAAUACCGGGAGAGAAUAACCAAAAAUAUUUCUGUUUUUCCCUUGUGAAAUAAAUGCUCAAGUUAUCUUGUUACUACCACUUGCUAUAUUAUCUCAAGGGAUGAAUUCUCUGAAAAAAAAGAAAGAAAAAAAAAAGAUACGAGGAAAUAAAAAGGAGCAAGUGCUCGGAACCUCGAAAGAAAAGAAAGAGUGAGACGAGAGGUAAAAAUGGACAAGUGUCCGACAGUAGAAUUAGGGGUGCAAGAUACCCACCUGAGAGACAAGAAAAAGAUAGAGCAUCUCAUUCUCAUCAUAAAGUUUCAAAAGCAAGGAAGGUAUGUAUCCCCUCAAAGAGCAAAAGUAGAAUUAGACUUCCACCACCAUUGUUUCCACCAUUGUUAUCACCAUCAUCACCAUACACCAUUCAUUCGCCACACAUGCACAUCUUGAUUUGGCUUAUUGAUUUGUUUCUUUGGAUCCAUGGUUUGACUAUGCAAUAAAUGUCUUAUAAGUAUGUAUACUUUAUCUCCCACCUAUGAACUCCAGAUAUUAAAGCCUUAUUAGAGUAGGGUGAGAGAGAGAGAAGGCAAUGUCACUAUGCCUCAUACCACAAAUACUACAUAUUUUGAGAGAAGGCAUAUACCAUCACUGCCUUGGUAAGGAUCCAAAAAUACCACAAAAGAGAGACCUUAGAGAAUCAUACAAGGAAUUUCUAAGUUUUAUUUGAAAAUCUGCAAAAACUCUAGAGCUAUAGCUGAUCAAGAAUAAGAGACAUGGCACUUGGCUAGACUGUUCUAUCUUUUAACCACUCAAGACAGAAGUGACAGUUACAAGUCCCAUGGUGAAGGUAAAGUAAGUAAGUUUUAAGUCUUGACAGUUUACUCUAACUCAGAGAUGAGAUCUUAUUUAAAAGCAUGUGUACCGUCAAAUUUUUUAAAGAUAUUGCAACUACUUAUGAUCCAUAGCUGAGUCUAUCCUUGCUCAGGGACGAGCAAGAGGUAAGCUUGGGGGAGUUUGUUGACGGUCCUUAAGUAUCAAAUUUAAUUAUCAAAUAAAUAAACAAAAGGAUCCAAAUGAAAUCAAGAUCUAGACUUAGGGUUUUAUCUGACAGAAUUCCACGAGUUUUGGUGUUUGUCUAUUUCUGCAGGGGGUUAUCAGGAAAUAUGGAAGAAAGGCCCACAUGUCGGGAUUACGUAAAGAUAUUAACGUGCUGCGCAAUUAUCUUACAUCUAGAAGACUCCAGAAGCCACGAGACCGAAGCGGAGACGAAACGGGGCCAGAGACAGGGCGCCCGCCCUGUCCUACUGGGUGCCCGCCCUGCCCCCAAGUCCAAUCAGGACUCUGCUUUGCGGGAGAUCGCCACCGACCUAAAGGAUGAAUCCAAACCAUACAAUCUAUGUCGGUUUGAUCCAACGGCCCAUAUUCACUUGGAGGGACUAUAAAACCAGACCCCCUGGCCCCUGGAGGAGAGAGCCUCUGAACCCUAAUUCAUUGUUCCAUCAAGGGAGAAGAAGCCUCUGAUCAAGAUUAGAGCCACCACAUCAAUUAGACAUCUAGAUUAGCAUAGCUACAUAGGAUUAGAACUAGAAGGAGUCAAUCUUCGAUUGGUUUCCGGAUCUGUCAAGAGGAUUCUUAGUAAUUCUCUAAUUGUGCUUCUAAUUGCUUUCUAAUUAUCUUUGUUCUUCAAUAUUAUGAAUAUGACUUUGUUCUACUUCAAUAUAUUGCUUAUGACUUUGCUCUACUUGCUUAUAUUCAAGAUUAUAUUGUUCUUAGUUUAUCAUAGUUAUGUACUUGGCUUAGUUAGAUUCGAUCUAUAUACAUGCUUAGGAUCGUAUAGCAUUUAUCCAUCGGAUCCAUGGGUAAAUGAUAGAUAUUGUGUAGGCGUGGUGCUUAUACCGUAUUUAUCUGCGAUUGUACCCAAUAUGCCAGAUCGUGGGGUGGUUCGUGAUAGUGACAGCUUCAUUGAUUCUUAUAUAGUCCCCCUCUCGUGUAUUGGGCUGGCAGAGCAACAUUAUUACAGGGGUGUGAUUGCUAUGUUUCUCAUAUUCCUUGCUAAUAUCACUAUGCAUGGGCGUAGUCUUGUCUCACAAUGAUUGCUAAGUAUGUUUGCACUAACUAUGAUAUGCUAGACUAUAUAGUUAAGAAAAACUUAGGGAAUAUUCUUGUAGUUCAUUCUAAUACCAUGCUAAUGACUUUCUAGAGUAUCUAAUUGAGGUGCUUAUCAUAUUUAUUAUGUGGCUAGAUCAGAUUAGUUAUCCUUGUCACUAUUAUUAUUUCAUAUAUCUUUUAUGUGACACUUAUCCCUGUAUGAAGAGUUAGAUAUAAUGUUCUCAAUUAUACAUGCAAUGAUAGAUGCUCAAUCUCAUAUUCUAUUCUGUAAUCAAUAGUGAUGAUCGCUAAUCCCUUCCCAGUGGUAAAAAUAUAAAUAACGAUACCUGGAAUACUUCCCGGUUAAAAUGCUGCAUCGGUAUUAAUCUGUGCGCUUGCAGAUCCCAUUCAUUAUUUAUUUAGAAGAGCAAUUGCAUAUUUCAAUACCGCGUCUCUUAUAUCAUGCUGGGGAUGACAACUUGGCUUAAGUGGUGUGAGGGAUAGGUUUGGCAUUUUUGGCACCGUUACUAGAUUUAGAGAACUUAGUCUACUUUUGGUAAUGAUGUUAAGAAUACCCAACAAUUAAUAUGUGGCUUAAUCUGCAUCUGCACAAGCGCCUCAACUUUAACUUAUUUACACAGCGUUUCCCAAGAGAUAUAACUGAAAAUCAUGUGUUGGGUGAAGAAGAAUCGGCAACACGCGCUCCCCUAAACUUUGGCGAAGCCGUCAUAGUCUUGCCUGGUUCAGGGGGUAAUCCAGAUCAGAUCGGCCGAUUCUUCCAGACUUUGUAUGAGGGCUUGGCCAGAGAUGAACGACCAUGGUUUGCCUAUGAUGACCCAGACAGUAUGAUCCCUCUAGUUUUCAAUCCAUUUGAUGAAGCUCUUGACAGGGAUAAUGAGGUGAUGAUGGCAAUUGUGACUCCUAGAGCCAUACCAGUGAAUUUCUUUGGUAGCACAAAAACCUCUCCCCAGACUUAUGAAUUCUACAACCCAUCGGCAUUAGCUCGUCAAUUAGCUUUCGGCCAGCUGCCGAUUGCACUCUGUUAUGCCGAUGUGAUAAAACCCAGGGAACCCAUCACCAACUUUCUUGAGUGGAUUCGAAUAGCUCAACUACCACCGAAUGCCGAUACAGAUGCAGAUUUGUCAGAGUGGGUUCCAGCCGCUUUCAUUACUCAGGCAUACAAGCUAUGGUGGGCAGAAUGGAAGGAGCAUCUAUUCUGCAAGUCAGCCCUUUCAUAUCGCGGCAUGAUUGACCCCGAGUACAAAGUACCCGAUGAUGCUGUAAGUAUUUCAAACUGGUGUUCCGAUUUUUCAAUCUUAUUUUCAUCGGUAACUCACCUUUGUAUCCCUUUUGCAGGUUGACAACAUCCCUCCAUCGGUUAGCAGAAGUGGUAAGCCGAUUGACCUGUUUCCACCAGGCCCAAUUUCUUCAAUCGGCCACAAUGCUCCCACUCUGGCUACCAUUGUGCAUCGAGGUGUGCGCCUCAAGAAAGUCACCACCAAGAGAACUCAGACACCACAAUCGGUAGCCGCUUCCACUCUGGCACAAGCUUUCAAGGCAAUUCAUCAACCCUUUUUCAUUUAUACCGAUUACCUUUACAUCGGCUACAUUUGUAAUUAUAAACUCCUUUUUAUUGCUGCAGCAAACCGGUACGUCGGCAAAAGCCAAACGUCAAGGCGCCGAUGCCCCCCAGUCCAGCCAGCCAAAGAGGAAGGGCGCCAAGGGUACCAGGGCUGGAACAAAGCGCCAGAAAGUGGCUACUCCUCCUCCUCCUCCGGCAUCUCCUAUUCCGGUGGAAUCUUCUCCCUCCCCUCCAGAUGUAGAGAUCCAGCAAGCACCAUCUCCCCCUCAUCCACAGGAAGCACCAGAAGCAGACGAACCCUAGCAGGAAGAACCCCAAGCAGAAGGUACAUCAGCAGAAGUGGGUGGACAAACAACUGGCCCGGCAGGUCCAAUUACAUCAUCGGCAGUUCCCCCGACUCAAACAAUCAUCGUUCCUCCUCCGGGUAACAUAUUUUAAUAAUACUGUCACCGAUGAACUUAUUCUCAUUCAGCCUCAUAACUCUUCCUGUCUUCUUUCAGUUGAUGUCGUCCCAUCGGCAACUCUGGCCGAUCAACCUACGGCUCCAUCGGCAUCUUCCAGUCAAAGGCAGGAAAUAGCCUUGAAACAAGUAAGUCACCCAACCUUUAUCAGCACUACUUGCCGAUUCUCCGAAUAUGAACUAACUUUUCUCUAUUUUUCCUUCCCAGGAACAAGACUCUCCCGACAGCCUUUUCUCCUUCGCCAUCGACAUCUCUGAAGAAGAAGGUGAAGAAGCAAGCUCCUCCCAGACAGUUGGCAUCACAUCGGCAGAGAUCAGGGCCAAGCUGGAAGAACUAUCGGCCCUCCUUCAUCAGGACACAGCACAACUGGUCGAUGACUCCGACCCAGCCAAGGUUCUGUUCAGGACUCUCAGAGGCAAGAUCCCCGCCAAUGUUGAAGAAAUCCUCUUACAAGCCGCACAUUUGGAGAGUCGUCAGCUGCAGUACCAGAGGGCUUCUCGGCGUCUUGCCGAUAGAGCUGCUCAGACUCAGCUUUCUGAAGAGAUGAGGAAAGAGAAGCUCCUGACCGAUGAGAAGCACAAGAACAUCGGCAUCUUGAGAUCUUCAGGAGACACGCUGAAGCAGAAGAUAUCUGACUUAUCGGCAAAAAAGGAAUCCCUGUUGGCAGAACUCAAACAACUGGAGGACGCCCUGUCCCAAGCCCAACAGGAAGAGAGUCAACUGCCAGAGACCAUCAAGCUUCUUGAGCAUGAGCGGAACGUCCACGGUCGCAAGGCACUACAAUUGAAGAAGAAGCUGAAGCCGAUAGAAGGCUCUGCCGAUGACAAUAUCAAGGAGAUAGAAGCAGCCAACCAAAUCCGGCUACGCGCCAUAUCGGCGAUCCAGGCGCUGCUGAACACAUGAAGCUCUCGUCGGCGACACAUCUGUGUUCUCCUGCUCUUUUAGCUUUUAGUUUAGCCGAUAGGACUGUUAUCGGCAUCUUUUGAAACAUUAAGUCCUGCCCCCAAACAUUUAAAUCCAGCCGAUAGGAGUGUUAUCGGCACUUAAACUUUUAUGCAUCGACCCAUAUGCUGGGGUAGUACUUCUUUAAAUAUUUGCCAUUCAAUGCUCUGGGGAAUUCAACUCCUUCGAGAGUUUCUAGAAUAUAGGCAUUUCCAGGAGCCAAUCGACUUAUCCGAUAAGGACCUUCCCAAUUAGGAGACCACUUUCCAAACUUCGAACUUUUAGUCCCGAUCAGUAAAAUUAAUUUCCAUACCAAUUCCCCAUCGGCAAACUCCUUAGCCUUUACUUUCUUGUCAUACCAUCUAGCAACUCUCUUCUUAUUUUCUUCUAUACUCAUUAAAGCCUUUAACUGAUGUCCCGCUAGAUCAUCUAACUCAUCGGUCAUCAAAGUGGCAUAAUCAUCGGCAGCUAAUUGAUCUUGAAAAGAUAAUCGCCUAGAUCCAGCCUUAAUUUCCCAAGGUAACACUGCAUCAUGUCCAUAUACCAAUUGAUAGGGUGACACCUUGGUUGAUCCAUGACAAGCCAUCCGAUAGGACCACAACGCUUCAUUUAAUAAUAUAUGCCACCGCCUAGGAUUUUCUUCAAUCUUUCGUUUGAUAAGUUUGAUAAUUCCUUUGUUAGACGCUUCGGCCUGCCCAUUGGCUUGAGCAUAAUAAGGAGAAGAAUUCAACACUUUGAUCCCCAUAACGAUUGCAAAUUCAUCAAACUCCCCUGAUGUAAACAUAGUGCCCUGAUCGGUAGUAAUUGUUUGAGGAAUUCCAAAUCGGUAAAUGAUAUGCUCCUUCACAAAAUCAAUCAUAUUAGCCGAUGUGACUUUCUUUAAAGGAAUAGCAUCGACCCACUUAGUGAAAUAAUCAGUGGCAACUAGAAUAAACUUAUGCCCUUUGCUAGAUGGCGGAUAAAUCUGGCCAAUCAGAUCAAUAGCCCAUCCUCGGAACGGCCAAGGCUUUAUGAUAGGAUUCAUAGCCGACGCAGGUGCCCUUUGAAUAUUACCAAACUUCUGACUUCCCUGACACUCUUUGAAAUACUUAAAGCAAUCCUCAAGUAUAGUCGGCCAAUAAUAUCCAUUCCUCCUAAUCAUCCACUUCAUCUUAAAAGUCGACUGAUGUGCUCCACACACCCCUUCAUGAAUUUCUCCCAUCAAACUCCUAGCUUCAUCAUUACCUAAGCAUCGGAGAAGAAUUCCAUCAAUAGUUCGAUAGUAUAAUUCAUCUUCGAGGAGCACAUACUUGGUCGCUUGAAAUCGAACUCGUCUUUCAACCUUCUUAGAUGGAUCUUUCAAAUAAUCAAUAAUUUCUUUCCUCCAAUCAUCGGCAUCUAUUGCCGAUACUAUAUUAAUCAUAGGCUGAUAUCCUGAGGCAUGCUGAGCUAACCGAUUGGCCUCUUCAUUAUGAAAUCGGGGAACAUGCUCUAAACGGAAAUCUUUGAAUUUCUUUAACAGUUGCAUGCUCUUCUCGUAAUAGGUUAUGAGAACUUCACUUCGGCAUUCAUAGCUCCCGGCCAAUUGAUUUAUAACCAACAUAGAAUCCCCGAAGACUUCGACAGCGUCAGCACGAACUUCUCUUAACAACUCCAAUCCUUUUAUCAAAGCCUGAUACUCAGCCUGAUUAUUUGUUGAUGUAGCAACAAUCGGCAAGGAAAAUUCAUACUUCCUCCCCUUAGGGGAAACUAACACUAUGCCGAUUCCUGCCCCCCGGUCACAUGUAGAUCCAUCAAAGAAAAGCGUCCAGGGCACCAUUUCCAAGGUUUCCACUACACCGCAAUGUUGAGUCACAAAAUCGGCCAUAAUCUGCCCUUUAACUGCCUUAGCCAAUUUAUAACGCAGAUCGAAUUCUGACAGUGCCAAAAUCCAUUUACCGAUCCUGCCACUCAUAAUCGGCAUAGAUAGCAUGUACUGGACCACAUCAUCUUUGCAAACAACAGUGCAUUCGGCCGAUAACAAGUAGUGCCUUAACUUGAUACACGAAAAAUAUAAGCAUAGGCAUAGUUUUUCAAUGGCCGAAUACCUGGUCUCAGCAUCAAUCAACCUCCUACUUAAGUAAUAAAUUACACGCUCUUUCCCUUCAAAUUCUUGAACUAAAGCUGAACCGAUAACUGUCCCAUCGGUAGACAAAUACAAUCUGAAGGGCCUUCCUUGCUGAGGUGGAACUAGAACUGGAGGAUUCAUUAGAUACUUCUUGAUUUCAUCCAGAGCCAACUGCUGUUCUUUUCCCCAAAUAAAUUCUUGAUCGGCUUUUAGCUUAAGAAGAGGACUGAAAGCACGAAUUUUUCCAGACAAAUUAGAUAUAUAUCUCCUAAUAAAAUUUACCUUGUCGAUCAAGGACUGGAGCUCGGUCUUGUUGGUAGGGGCUACUAUCUUAUUGAUGGCAUCAAUAGAUCUUCGACUAAUUUCAAUCCCCCUUUGAUGCACCAUGAAACCAAAAAACUACCCUGCCGAUACACCAAAUGCACACUUAUUGGGAUUCAUCUUCAAUCCAUGCUUCCUCGUGCACUCCAAUACCCUUUGUAGAUCGGCAAGAUGUUUUGCAAAGUCCCCGGACUUGACCACCACAUCAUCAAUAUAAAUCUCUACCAAUUUGCCGAUGAACUCAUGAAAUAUAAAAUUCAUGGCCCUUUGAUAAGUGGCACCAGCGUUCUUAAGGCCAAAAGUCAUAACUAUCCACUCGAACAAUCCAACAUGACCAGGGCAUCUGAACGCAGUCUUUGGAAUAUCUUCUUCAGCCAUGAAUAUCUGAUUGUACCCUGCAUUGCCAUCCAUGAAGCUAAUAAUCCGAUGUCCAGCCGCAGCGUCGACUAACAGAUCAGCAACUGGCAUUGGAUAUCCAUCCAUCGGCGUAGCUUUAUUGAGGUUCCUAAAAUCAAUGCAGACCCGAAGCUUCCCGUUCUUCUUGUAGACCGGAACAACAUUGGAAAUCCAUUCGGCAUACCGACACUGCCGAAUAAACUUGGCUUCAAUAAGUUUGGUUAUUUCGGCCUUGAUGUCAGGAAGGAUAUUAGUAUUACAUUGGCGAGCUGGCUGCUGAUGUGGCCGAAAUCCAGACUUAAUAGGCAACCGAUGUUCAACAAUUGAUCGGUCUAAACCAGGCAUCUCGGUAUAAUCCCAAGCAAAGCAAUCUUUAUAUUCCUUUAACAAAUCGGUUAAUUGCUGCUUACACUCAGAAUUUAACUUAGAACUAAUAAAGGUAGGUCUAGGCUUAUCACCACUACCUAUAUCUACUUCUACCAAAUCAUCGGCCGAUGUGAAUCCCUGGCCUAACUUUCCAUCAUCGGCGAACCUAUCCAUUAAAAACCGUCGUCAGAACCGACUGCUUGGAUCGGUGGAAUCUCGUAAUCGGCAACCUUGAGAAAAUAUUUCUCCCAAACUUCUCCUGAAAUGCACCUGGUCCUCUCAUAGGUGUCUGCCUCGGCCGACGCAAUGACAUAAGAAGAAUCUCCCAGGACAAUCUCAAUUUUGUCACCCACCCACUGAACCAAACAUUGGUGCAUUGUAGAUGGGAUGCAACAAUUAGCAUGAAUCCAAUAUCUUCCCAAUAGCAAGUUGUAAGCACCCUUUCCACUGAUCACGAAGAAGGUUGUCGGCAAGGUUUUGCUGCCGAUAGUCAACUCUACGCAUAUUGCCCCCUUGACCGGAGACACAUUCCCUUCGAAGUCUUUGAGCAUCAUAUCGGUCUUGGUUAAAUCUUGAUCUCCUUUUCCAAGCUUCCGAUACACCGUAUAUGGCAUGAUAUUGAAAGCAGCUCCUCCAUCAAUUAAGAUCUUAGUCAUCGGCUGCCCAUCAACCCUUCCUUUGACAAACAGAGCCUUGAGAUGCUGUCUUUCAUCAUCGGCAGGUUUCUCGAAGAUAGCCGUCAUCGGAUCUAGAGCCAACUGAUCUAUUUGAUCGGAAAACUCCACCUCAUCAUCACUGGAUGGCGCAAGGAAUUCCAUUGGCAACAUAAAGACCAUGUUGACACCUGCCGAUGGACCUUCCCCUUUAGGACCUGGUUGUUGUCGAUCCUCAGGUUUUCCAGAGCUUUCGCCCUUGCUCAGCUCCUCUUGCCUUUCACGUUGCAAUCUCCUUUUCUGUGUCUUGGUCAAUCCUUCCGGACACCAUGGAGGAAGUGGCUUCUGCCUUGCUACUGGGCGUCGAUUCUCUCUUGACUCCAUCCGAUGCGUGUUAGCAUCCCUGCAAAAUAUGAACUCAUCGGGAACUCGUGCAUUAGCCAUCUCCUCGAGCUCUUCCUGGUUCCUAGGAAAAUAUUGGACACGAUCACCAAGCCUAUCGUGCACGCUGAGCCUGCCCCCCAGCCGAUCAUGAACUGACGCUCUUCCUCUGAUCGGCCCAUCAAAUCGCCGAUUGUCAUCAUGAUAACGCCGAUCGGUCCUAUCAUACCGAUCAUAACCAUUGCACUCAGGGCAGUCUCUGACAGUGGGAAGCUUAAUAUUCUCCUCCCAACAAUGGAUGAAGAACGGACAGUUCCAAUGAUCUCUAUGCCGAUUCCACUCCUGUCGGCGUCUCUCUUCCUCCCGAAGAUAAUCUUCUUGCUGGCGCCGAUACCGAUCUUCCUGUUGCUGCCAGUUCUCUCGAGACCUUCUAUGAGUUAUAACGAUGCCAGACCGAGGAGGCCUACCUGAGCUGGUUCCUUCCUGAACCAAGCCCCUACCUCUUGCAUCGGCAGUAGUAACUUGAUGCUGAGGAUCUACCGAUGCACUUCUCUCGGCUGCUUCUGACGUUAAGACCUUAGCCUUUCCCUUAGCAUCCAACAUGUUUGUUGGGAAAGGAUGUUGGUCUAUCUUCAUCGGCUUCUGAGUCUUGGAACUGUCAAACUUGAUUCUCCCAGACUCUAUAGCCGAUUGCAGCUGCUGCCUGAAAACCUUACACUCAUUGGUGUCAUGAGAAGUUGCAUUAUGCCACUUGCAAUAUUUCAUCCUCUUCAACUCCUCAGCCGAUGGGAUCACGUGAUUAGGAGACAGCUUGAUCUGACCUUCCUAAAGUAGAAAAUCAAAUAUCCUAUCGGCCUUAGCGGUGUCAAAAGCAAACUUUUCUAGUUCCUUCUGCCCAAAAGGGCAAGAUAUCGGCUUCUUGUUCUUUACCCACUCUGCCAAGCCGAUGACUGGUUCCUCAUCAGAAUCUGAGCUCGUUGGCUCAUCAACAAAUGAUACCUUCUUGUUCCAUGCUCUUUUGGGCUCGAAAGGCUUGAUGUCUUGAUCAGAAAUCCUCUGUACCAAAUGACUUAAGCUUUCAAACUCCUGAGAUGCAUAUUUGUCCCUGAUGUGCGGCAACAAACCCUGGAAAGCCAAAUCGGCUAGCUGCCGAUCGUCCAGAACCAGACUAUAGCACUUGUUCUUGACUUCCCGUAUCCUCUGUACAAAACCCUCAACCGAUUCAUCAUUGCGUUGUCUCAAUUUGACCAAAUCGGUGAUCUUCUUCUCAUGAACCCCGGAAAAGAAGUAUUUGUGGAACUGUUUCUCCAGAUCGGCCCAAGUAAUCACUGAGUUGGGAGGUAGUGAUAUGAACCAGGUGAAGGCCGAUCCAGACAAUGAUGAUGAAAAUAGACGAACCCUCAAUUCGUCCCUGUUACCGGCUUCUCCGCAUUGAAUGAUGAACCUGUUGACAUGCUCCAUGGUUGACGUGUCGUCUUGCCCAGAAAACUUAGUAAAAUCCGGCACCUUGUACCGAUGCGGAAGCGGGAUCAAAUCAUAUGCGGGAGGAUACGGUGUCCGAUAAGAGUAAGUAUUGACUUUGGGUUUUAUCCCGAAUUGGUCUCUCAUUACUUCAGCAAUCUUAUCGGCCCAGUAUGCAUCGGCAUCUUGCCGAUGGGGCUAUUGCGGAUCAGGUGCCUGCUGGUAGGCCUCCACGUGUCUGUUCGGUGCACGAUCUGCACGGAACAUUGGGUUGAUCACCUGGCCUCCAACCUGUGGACCACCAAGCUGUUGCCCGCCAAUCUGCUGUCCGACGAACUGCUGCCCGAGAUUCAUUGGCUGGUUAGGGAUCCCCUGAUUCUGAAACCCGGGAUAGAUCUGUCCUUGCUGGAACCCUGUAGCCUGGUGACUCUGUUGGGGUGUUUGUGGAAGGACUUGCUGCCCAAGCCAUCCAUUAUUAGCAUUCAUCGGCAUAGGCCCUGCCGAUGACUGGUAAUUGGGCAUCAUCAUCGAAUUGACAUACCCAGAUUGAGCCAUAGACCUCUGUUGCAUCAGCAUCGAGUCUGCCGAUGCAUUAGGCAUCUGGAACAUUGGAGCUUGAGAAUUCCCAGUAUGAGGUCUUGCAGUAGUAGUUGUAGUAUACUGGGGACUCUGGUUCAUCGGCAUAUUAGGAGGUGCCGAUGCCAUAGGAGUCUUGCCUCUCAUAUCAGUCGUCUGCGACGUACCCGGUGUUAACUCUGGAGGCAUGCCAUAACCCCACCAGUUGGGAGGAGGGGUUAACCCUGUCAUUGCCGAUGCUAACAGAUCUGUGGCAAGUUUAAUCUGCCCGUCCGAAGUCUGUGGAUUAGUUGUCAUCGGCAUAGACUGUCCAUUGGUGACUCCUAACGUACUUGGUGGAACAGGAAUCUCCAUACCCCCAGCGGCCGUGGCAGCCGAUGGAGCUGUGACCACUGGUGACUUUGGCUGGUGAUAAGUGGGGCCCACAUAAUCUGGUGGGAUUUGUCCUUCCUUGAAAGUUCUUACCACGGCAUUGAAAACCGUAUUAGACAGUACACCAGCUUGGUUGAUCAAAGCACGGUUGAUAGCGCUGUCAACCAUAUCUUGAAGUUUACCAGGAUUGGACUCAAAAGUAACCUGCCGAGGGGCCGGCAGUGCAUCCUUCUGAAUCACCUCACCGCUCCUGUUCAUGCUGAAGGACCUCAGGCAUUGCUGCUUGUAAUCCUCCAUGGCUUUAGCAAUAGCUUGCUUCUGCUCAUCCUUGAGAUUGGCUUCCGUCACGGGGAUGACGUUUUCCUGAUCAAACUCAGAAGUCGACAUGUUGAUCUUGAUCUUGAAUCUGUCCCACUGGGCGUGCCAAAAGAUGUGUUGGUGCAAAAGCUGGUCUGCAAACACAAAGGGCUAAUACCCGAUUCAAACGUUAAGGCGUGCCAGCCGAUUUGACCUUACUAUCGGCAAAGGUGAUAACUAGAAUUGAUAACUAGAAUACUUUAGUCCUGACAACAGCGAUGCGCCCGGAUGUCACGGCUAAGAGGUACUCACGCGGAACUUGAGAACACACCGAGCUUAAGUCGACGAAUUCCUAAGAACUCGUAAUAAAAAGGAAAAAGUAUGACGAAGUCGUCGAAAAAAGUAGAUGAUGAAAUAUGAGUAAAAACGUGUGUUUGAUUGGUUGAUAGAUGUCUCAUUACAAGGUCUUAGGGUCUAUAUUUAUACCCUGCUCAAAGAGCUACAGCCAGACACGAUUAGAAUUCAAAUUCCAAAUUACACAGAAUCCAUAUACAAAACGAUUUAAAUAAUUAAGAAAAUAACAAAACUAUCUCCCGUAACAAACUGAAACUCUGCCACAAACCAUCGGUGGCUUCCGAACUCUCCCUUCGUAUCAUCGGCAGACUCCCUUGCCAUAGUCAUCGGCACAGACACAUCACCGCCUGUAGACUUAGUCACGCUCAACCUCUCCUUCAUCGGCAACCAUCCUCAUCGGCAACUUUUCCUGUAAACAAAACACUGCCGUCUUAUCCUGCCGGCCUGGACACGUGCCCAAAAACGGUGUCAACAUGACCAAGAAGGACGACCCAGGAAUGCCAAGCAUUUACUGCUCCAUACAUGGAUAUAGCUUCUACAAGACAAUUUGCGACAAUGGAUCGGACGUCAACAUAAUGGACGCAGUCACCUAUCGGCUCUUGUUCGGGACCAUGCCACUAAGACCAACAUACAUUCAGCUCUAGAUGGCAGAUCAGACAUUUCGAGAAGUCAAAGGAACAGUAACUGAUGUCCCAGUCAAAAUAGACGAUCACUUUGUCUACACAGACUUUCAAGUUGUUGACAUGGGAGAAGACGAGUAUGAUCCACCCAUCAUCCUUGGAAGACCAUUCCUCAGCACCGUUAAAGCAAUUAUCUACAUUGGAACCGGAGAAGUCCAUAUGCACUUCCCCUCAGAGAAGGUACGCCGUUAUUUUAUUGACCCUGACUAUAUCGUUGAAGAAUCUAAGCAGGUCAGAAAGAGACGCAACCGCAACCAGAGGAGGCAGAUCAUCAGGGACGGAUGGGCAGACUAUGAAGGAGAAGUUGUAAGAUCAGAAGACGUAGAGUUUAAACAGAAUUAUCCAGAGGAGAUUGAAGCACCGAGUUAGGUAUGGAAAAUGAAGAUAACUAUACAAGAAGAGGAGGCGCUGCCGGAAGUACCGACUACGCCACCCAACGAACCUCAGGACGAUUAAGAAAAUGGAGAGUCCCGUUCGGAGGACUUAAAAACACCGAACGCCUUGCCAAGAGGUAAACUUGGUAGUUAUCCUUUCCCUUUCAAUUAUUAAAAAAGUUUACUUAGUUAAUCAUGUUCGUAUUAUCUUAAAAAGAAAAUAAAAAUAUAAAAAACUGUAAGCCCCAUGUGAGUAUACGAGUGGCAUAAAACCCAUAAGUACAUUCACUGUGGUGGCAUAAAAAUAAAAUAAAUAUUUUUCUGCUUUAUAAAAACAAAAAUAUAAAAACAGAGAGUAAUAUUUAUUAAGGAGUCUCAACAUGAUAAAGGCUAGAUAUUUAUGCUAACACUUAAUCAGUUCCACAAGCUUUGUUGUCUAUUUGAGCUCCACAGAAUUUAAGAAUCAAGAAGACUAGCAGACGGAGGACAUUCUAAUCGCUGUCAGAAUGCUGCCGACUUUCAAAUACACCUCUGCCACCUGCUAGCUACAUCAAGAGAAAUUACGUCAAAAUUCAGCUUGGGGGAGAGCACCCCCAUUUAUCCCGAUAAGUAUUUCUAUCUAUCUUUAUACUUAUACUAUAUUAGAAUAUAAAUACACAUAACUAUGAAAAACCAAAUAAAGAUUUUAUGCUUAUAUAUAUAUUUGUCUUUUGCUUAGUGUGUUUAAUAAAUAAAUAAAGUGGCUAUGCUAAUCUAUAUCUAAAUAAAACUCAAGCAUGGAUAUGAUGAAUAGUUGCUCUGCCUAAUUUGCACAUUUUAAGUUCUCUCUCAAGUUUAGAUAUAACUGUUAUAAUUUAAAGCUUGCUCUAGACCUAAACUUGUGGGAUGAAAACUUGAUCUGAAGUCUAAGUUGUUAACGGAUAUGAUAUGGGAAGGUUGAGCUGCUGUUUAUCUGUUCCUAGAGAUGCUAGAAUUCUGGAGAAUUUUAUUUUUGAAAAUCUUUAAAAUAUUGCAUGAUGAGUUCAUGUAUGAUGAGAGUUUAAAUUCCUACCACAGCCAUAUAUACAUGCUUGCUAGACUUUGAGCAACACAUUUACUAUUUACUGCUUAUGAGCAUUGAGUGUGGUCAAGCUGUGUAGACCCUUAGGAGCUUGUCAUGUGGUUAAAUCAAGAUUUCACUUGCACAUUCACUCAUAUAUGCUACUUCUACUCCGGAAGUACCAUCCACAUAUAUUCACCCAUUCCAUCUCCAGAAUCACCCAAAAAUAUUCUACUCCUAAUCCGGGAGAGAAUAACCAAAAAUAUUUCUGUUUUCCCCUUGUGAAAUAAAUGCUCAAGUUAUCUUGUUACUACCACUUGCUAUAUUAUCUCAAGAGAUGAGUGCUCUAAAAAAAGAGAGAGAAAAAAAGAAAAAAAAAGAGAUACGAGGAAAUAAAAAGGAGCAAGUGCUCGGAACCUCGAAAGAAAAAGAAAAAGUGAGACGAGAGGUAAAAAUAGACAAGUGUCCGACAGUAGAAUUAGGGGUACAAGAUACCCACCUGAGAGAAAAGAAAAAGAAGAGCAUCUCAUUCUCCUCAUAAAGUUUCAAAAAGCAAGGAAGGUAUGUAUCCCCUCAAAGAGCAAAAGUAGAAUUAGACUUCCACCACCAUUGUUUUCACCAUUGUUAUCACCAUUAUCACCAUACACCAUUCAUUCGCCACACAUGCACAUCUUGAUUUGGCUUAUUGAUUUGUUUCUUUGGAUCCAUGGUUUGACUAUGCAAUAAAUGUCUUGUAAGUAUGUGUACUUUAUCUCCCACCUAUGAGCUCCAGAUAUUAAAGCCUUAUUAGAGUAGAGUGAGAGAGAAGGCAAUGUCACUAUGCCUCAUACCACAAAUACUACAUAUUUUGAGAGAAGGCAUAUACCAUCACUGCCUUGGUAAGGAUCCAAAAAUACCACAAAAGAGAGACCUUAGAGAAUCAUACAAGGAAUUUCUGAGUUUUAUUUGAAAAUCUGCAAAAACUCUAGAGCUAUAGCUGAUCAAGAAUAAGAGACAUGGCACUUGGCUAGACUGUUCUAUCUUUUAACCACUCAAGACAGAAGUAACAGUUACAAGUCCCAUGGUGAAGGUAAAGUAAGUAAGUUUUAAGUCUUGACAGUUUACUCUAACUCAGAGAUGAGAUCUUAUUUAAAAGCAUGUGUACCGUCAAAUUUUUUAAAGAUAUUGCAACUACUUAUGAUCCAUAGCUGAGUCUAUCCUUGCUCAGGGACGAGCAAGAGGUAAGCUUGGGGGAGUUUGUUGACGGUCCUCAAGUAUCAAAUUUAAUUAUCAAAUAAAUAAAGAAAAGGAUCCAAAUGAAAUCAAGAUCUAGACUUAGGGUUUUAUCUGACAGAAUUCCAUGAGUUUUGGUGUUUGUCUAUUUCUGCAGGGGGUUAUCAGGAAAUAUGGAAGAAAGGCCCACACGUCGGGAUUACGUAAAGAUAUUAACGUGCCGCGCAAUUAUCUUACAUCUAGAAGACUCCAGAAGCCACGAGACCGAAGCAGAGGCGAAACGGGGCCAGAGGCAGGGCGCCCGCCCUCCUGCCCUGGGCGCCCGCCCCCUCCCUGAGUCCAAUAAGGACUCUGCUUCGUGGGAGAUCUCCACCGACCUAAAGGAUGAAUCUAAACCAUACAAUCUAUGUCGGUUUGAUCCAAUGGCCCAUAUUCACUUGAAGGGACUAUAAAACCAGACCCCCUAGCCCCUGGAGGAGAGAGCCUCUCAACCCUAAUUCAUUGUUCCUCAAGGGAGAAGAAGCCUCUGAUCAAGAUUAGAGCCACCACAUCAAUUAGAUAUCUAGAUUAGCAUAGCUACAUAGGAUUAGAACUAGAAGGAGUCAAUCUUCGAUUGGUUUCCGGAUUUGUCAUGAGGAUUCUUGGUAAUUCUCUAAUUGUGCUUCUAAUUACUUUCUAAUUAUCUUUGUUCUUCAAUAUUAUGAAUAUGACUUUGUUCUACUUCAAUAUAUUGCUUAUGACUUUGCUCUACUUGCUUAUAUUCAAGAUUAUAUUGUUCUUAGUUUAUCAUAGUUAUGUACUUGGCUUAGUUAGAUUCGAUCUAUAUACAUGCUUAGGAUCGUAUAGCGUUUAUCCAUCGGAUCCACGGGUAAAUGAUAGAUAUUGUGUAGACGUGGUGCUUAUACCGUAUUUAUCUGCGAUUGUACCCAAUAUGCCAGAUCGUGGGGUGGUUCGUGAUAGUGACAGCUUCAUUGAUUCUUAUAUAGUCCCCCUCUCGUGUAUUGGGCUGGCAGAGCAACAUUAUUACAGGGGAGUGAUUGCUAUGUUUCUCAUAUUCCUUGCUAAUAUCACUAUGCAUGGGCGUAGUCUUGUCUCACAAUGAUUGCUAAGUAUGCUUGCACUAACUAUGAUAAUGCUAGACUAUAUAGUUGAGAAUAACUUAGGGAAUAUUCUUGUAGUUCGUUCUAAUACCAUGCUAAUGACUUUCUAGAGUAUCUAAUUGAGGUGCUUAUCAUAUUUAUUAUGUGGCUAGAUCAGAUUAAUUAUCUUUGUCACUAUUAUAAUUUCAUAUAUCCUUUAUGUGACACUUAUCCCUGUAUGAAGAGUUAGAUAUAAUGUUCUCAAUUAUACAUGCAAUGAUAGAUGCUCAAUCUCAUAUUCUAUUCUGUAAUCAAUAGUGAUGAUUGCUAAUCCCUUCCCAGUGGUAAAAAUAUAAAUAACGAUACCUGGAAUACUUCCCGGUUAAAAUGCUACAUCGGUAUUAAUCUGUGCGCUUGCAGAUCCUAUUCAUUAUUUAUUUAGAAGAGCAAUUGCAUAUUUCAAUACGGCGUCUCUUAUAUCAUGCUGGGGAUGACAACUUGGCUUAAGUGGUGUGAGGGAUAGGUUUGGCAUUUUUGGCACCGUUACUAGAUUUAGAGAACUUAGUCUACUUUUGGUAAUGAUGUUAAGAAUACCCAACAGUGGCCUUUGUUAGCCCCUAUGGAGAAGUUGAGGGAGGAUGAAGGGGUGCCACACGCGCGCGCCGCCGCCGCCGUCGAGCCGAGCCGUGCCGUCUUGUCUUGUCUUGUCUUGUCUUGUCUUGACGAGCGAGCGUGACGUGGCACACGAGGACCAGACCAGACGUGACGUGGCGCAUGCGUGGUGAAUAAGGAAAGGGAGGAAAAAUAGGAUCUGACCGUUGUGUAAUUAAUGGCAAUUAAUUGCUAAUUGAUUGACUCGGUUUAUGGCAAUUAAAAGAGAUUAAUAGUCAUCAUUCAGAUGUUUCCUCCUGAGGCCUAUAUAUACCAUACGCACCCACUCCUUCCAUAC